ensembl:processed_transcript
CUCGGUGAUGCUCAACGUCCGCCUGCAGUGCGGAUCGAGUGAGCAAACGCCCUCCGCCACGGCGGAGAGGGCCAUCCGCGCCUUCCGCGCCAUCCUGGCGGCCGCAGGAAGGACAGCGGGGCGCACAGUGCCUCCAGACUGCGGCGGGGAGAGCAAGCGGCACAGCCAGGGUCCCUCCAUUUUAGGUCUCUGCGAAAGGCCUGAGAAACCUCAUCCCAAACCGCAAAUCCUUCACAGCCCAGUCCUUUUCCUCUGCAUCCAGAGAAUCACCAGAGUCUGGCAAACCUGUUGCCUCCCCAUUGGCCGAAAGCAGGGGAGCCCCCAAAAAGGGAUGAUUUACCAGGCACUGUGCCUGAAGAGGACUCCUGAGAUGUCACCUGAACCCUAAAUGGGAGAGGACUGGGCCAGUGAGGUCUCAGGAAGGCCCUAGACAGUAAAGAUUAUCCAUCCAUNNNNNNNNNNNNNNNCGCUGUCCGGUUAGAGAUGUGGUUUCUGGUCUGGAGUCAAGGUGUUGAAUCCAUGUUGAACCUCAAGAGUAAGGGGAAAUGAAACCAUCUCUACAGGCCACUGCGUGCAGCCCAGAGUCCUCGCUGCAGUAGCCCGAAGUUUGAUCCCAAGGAUGCACAUGGGGCUCACAACACUGUGCAACGUCAGUCCCAGAGGAGCCAGCGAUGUCUUCUACACUAUCCUGGGACCAAUGGUGUACUCUUCGCUAAAAUCAUGCACACAGGCAAAAUGGCUAUUGAAGGAAACUUCAUGAUUUUGAAGCGCCCAGAACUUGAUGCCAAAUACCCACGUAGGAUGCACAGUGGCCCACAACUCCAUUUCCGGGGCACCCAAGGAACCCUUCUGCCCUAUUCUGGGACCAGGAAUGCAGUUGCUGCUUAGAACACACACUCGGGCAAAACAGCCGUUC